rnacentral:tRNA from 1 species
GCUGGUAGCACGAUGCUUAAGCAUUCAGCUGCUAACUGAAAGGUUGGUGGUUUGAAUCCACCUAGCAGCU